AGUGAACGCUGGCGGCGUGCUUAGCACAUGCAAGUCGAACGAGAACGGGUUAUAGCUUGCUAUAAUUGUCAGCUAAGUGGCGCACGGGUGAGUAAUGUAUAGGUAAUAUGCCUCUUACUAAGGGAUAACAAAUGGAAACGUUUGCUAAUACCUUAUACUCCUUAUUAACAGAAGUUAAUAAGGGAAAGAUUUAUUGGUAAGAGAUUAGCCUGUAUUGUAUCAGUUAGUUGGUGGGGUAAUGGCUUACCAAGACUAUGACACAUAACUGGUUUGAGAGGAUGAUCAGUCACACUGGAACUGAGACACGGUCCAGACUCCUACGGGAGGCAGCAGAGGGGAAUAUUGCACAAUGGACGGAAGUCUGAUGCAGCAACGCCGCGUGGAGGAUGACACAUUUCGGUGCGUAAACUCCUUUUAUAUGAGAAGAUAAUGACGGUAUUAUAUGAAUAAGCACCGGCUAACUCCGUGCCAGCAGCCGCAGUAA
rnacentral:rRNA from 1 species